UACAGAGGGGGCAAGCGUUGUUCGGAAUUACUGGGCGUAAAGGGCGCGUAGGCGGCCUACUAAGUCGAACGUGAAAUCCCCGGGCUUAACCCGGGAACUGCGUCCGAUACUGGUUGGGCUUGAAUCCGGGAGAGGGAUGUGGAAUUCCAGGUGUAGCGGUGAAAUGCGUAGAUAUCUGGAGGAACACCGGUGGCGAAGGCGGUUCUCUGGGCCUGUACUGACGCUGAGGAGCGAAAGCGUGGGGAGCGAACAGG
rnacentral:rRNA from 1 species